rnacentral:rRNA from 1 species
CUAAAAACCUAGCCUAAUAAUUUACCCAUAAUACCAAAUUAUAAACCAAAAUAUUUAACAGUUUAGUACAGAAGAUAAAAAAAAUCUAUUAGAGCUAAUAAAUAUGUACCGCAAGGG